AUUGAACGCUGGCGGCAUGCUUUACACAUGCAAGUCGGACGGCAGCACAGAGAAGCUUGCUUCUUGGGUGGCGAGUGGCGAACGGGUGAGUAACAUAUCGGAACGUACCGGGCAGUGGGGGAUAACUAAUCGAAAGAUUAGCUAAUACCGCAUAUUUUCUGAGGAAGAAAGCAGGGGACCAUUUGGCCUUGCGCUGUUUGAGCGGCCGAUAUCUGAUUAGCUAGUUGGUGGGGUAAAGGCCUACCAAGGCGACGAUCAGUAGCGGGUCUGAGAGGAUGAUCCGCCACACUGGGACUGAGACACGGCCCAGACUCCUACGGGAGGCAGCAGUGGGGAAUUUUGGACAAUGGGCGCAAGCCUGAUCCAGCCAUGCCGCGUGUCUGAAGAAGGCCUUCGGGUUGUAAAGGACUUUUGUCAGGGAAGAAAAGGGCGGGGUUAAUACCCCUGUCUGAAGACG
rnacentral:rRNA from 1 species